rnacentral:rRNA from 1 species
AACAGAUCACUGGUCGAGUAAUUUUGCACCGAAAAUUUAUGGGCAUUAAAAGAUUCGCCGAAGCGGCAAACUUUUUUAAGUGGUAGCAGAACGUUCUGUGAAAUCAAUGAAGAAAAUUUGAGAAAAUUUUUCGAGAAAUCAGAAGUGAAAAUGCUGACAUGAGUAACAAAAAACAAUGUACAGAAUCAUUGUGGCUGUAAAUCCAAGGGUUUUGACGGAAGGAUUAUCCGCGUCAUGCCAUCUUUCGAUGGACAUAUUAGACGGUCCCUAAGAACGCUGAUGACAAUCAGGUUUGAUGGGUUAAACGUUUCGUUUCUUUAAAAAAAUGACAGAUUCUUAAGAUUAUUUUUAGUUUAUAGAGGAAACUAAAGGUGGUGGACGAAUUUCAGGAAAAAGUUUUUUACUGCACAAACCGUACCUUAAACCAACACAGGUGGAUGGGUGGAAUACACUAAAGCCAAUGAGAGAAUGAUGUUGAAGGAACUCGGCAAAAUGAUUCCGUAACUUCGGAAGAAGGAAUAACCUUGUGAGGGCAACCUUGCAAGGUUGGCACAGAAUUGGGGGUAGCGACUGUUUAAUAAAAACACAGGUCUCUGCAAAUUUGUAAAAAGAUGUAUAGGGACUGACACCUGCCCGGUGCUGUAAGGUUAAACUAUGCUGUUUUGGCAGUGUACAUAAGCCUCAGUAAACGGCGGCUGUAACUCUGACGGUCCAAAGGUAGCGAAAUUCCUUGUCGGGUAAGUUCCGACCUGCAUGAAUGGUGUAACGACUUCCCCGCUGUCUCCAACAUCACCUCAGUGAAAUUGAAAUACCCGUGAAGAUGCGGGUUAUCUGCAGCUAGACGGAAAGACCCCGUGCACCUUUACUAUACCUAAACAUUGAAGAACUCACGAUCAUGUGUAGCAUAAGUGGGAGUUGACGAUCCCUUUGCGCAAGCAAAUUGGGGAGACCAAAGUGAAAUACCACUCUUGAUCUUGAGAACUUCUCACCUCAGGACAGUGUUUAGCGGGUAGUUUGACUGGGGCGGUCGCCUCCUAAAGAGUAACGGAGGCGUACAAAGGUAGGUUUGCGUAGGUCAACAAUCUACGUGUAAGCGUAAUGGUACAAGCCUGCUUGACUGCAAGAGCGACAGCUCGAACAGGAACGAAAGUUGGUCAUAGUGAUCCGGUGAUUUUGCGUGGAAAAAUCAUCGCUCAACGAAUAAAAGGUACGCCGGGGAUAACAGGCUGAUGACUCCCUAGAGCUCCUAUCGACGGAGUCGUUUGGCACCUCGAUGUCGGCUCAUCACAUCCUGGAGCUGAAGAAGGUUCCAAGGGUUCGGCUGUUCGCCGAUUAAAGUGGUACGCGAGCUGGGUUUAGAACGUCGUGAGACAGUUUGGUCCCUAUCUACUGUGGAUGCAUGAAAAUUGAGAGGCCUAGACCUUAGUACGAGAGGACCAGGAAAAGUAAACCUCUGGUGUACCGGUUGUUCUUUCUUAGAGCAUCGCCGGGUAGCUAAGUUUAUGCAUGAUAAUCACUGA